AGAACAAUUGAGAUAGAUCUCACAUAUAACUAGCCUCUUAAGGGAAAAAAAAGCUCUCGGUUUCAGUUCUUCAACAAUAUUCGACUCACAGCAAUGCGACUUCCCCAUAAGAAACUCCGAACACCAUUACCUCCCAGCAGCGUAUUGCAGCUUAGUCUCAUUGGAUUUGGGUCAUAUCUGUGCACACCACCUGUUCGAUGAAAUGCCUCAUAGAACCCUUCAAAUUUUAAUUGGGUGGGAAAGCAGUAUCUUUCAGCUUUCUGUUUAAUUGGGUGCUGGAAAUUGAGCAUUUUGGGUGUGAAAGUUGCAAUCUUUACAUCAGGUUUUAGGUGGUGGUGUUGUUGAAGGCUAGAUUUCUUUUGAGUUUAUAUUAUUGCACACCCAACAAAGAUAUCAGGGGUAACUGUUUCUCACCAGAAAAGCUACAUGAUUUGUUAAAGCAGACAAGCAUUAUGCCUCUGAUUCUCACACCAGGUUUGUUGCACUCGGUAUUUCUUUGCUGGAGAGGAGCUGACUCCAACAUAGAUAGAUGUUCCAGAGGCCAGCCAACAGUAUCCUCUACUUGGACCAGAAGAGCUCCAUUUGCAAAUUGCAAGCUGGUAGUUAUUUUGUUACUAAACUAAGAUGCAUCAGUUCAACUGACUUGUCAGUGAUGCCCAUUUAUGAUGCCUGUUCAUCUUCUAGUAUGUUUCCAUUUCAUUUUAUUAGUCAAUUUGGAUUUUUUCUUUCACCUUUUAAAUGUUUUAUCAUUUACUCAAUGCUUAUGGCUUAUGCUGCUCAGGUUUUCAUUUUAUUCAGCGAUAGUUCAAUGUACAUCCUUUGUCCAAUUGUUUCAUUUGAAAGGUAAUUUAUUCCUCAUGUCAGGCCCUUUUGCAUUCUAGUCCUAAGUUAUUUAUUUUUUAGUUUUUGGAUUUUGUCCCUCUAAAUCUGCCUCUGUGUGUGUGAAUAUAUAUAUUUGACAGAUUAGAUGGUCUUAUAAACAGAUCAAUCAAAACAAUUUGGCUAAUUUUCUCUUCACCUAGACACCUAUAUCUUUUGUCUGUGUGAGUAAGAUGUUUUGAUGUUUUGUUGUAAUUUAUGAGGUUCCGAAUCACAUGUUAACUGAUAUUUAUAUUGGAGUGUUUUAUUUUGGCAACAGUGUCUAUAACUAGGAAUCGAUAGUAGAUAUAUAUAAUGAUGCCCAGACUUUUGGCCUAAAGUCGCUUAACUCAACGGCUGUUAGUAAUUCAAAUCUGGCUAUUUCUUGGUUGGAAGCAACAUUUCCAGAAUUGCAGGGCAAACAGAUGGCUCUAAUCUAUAUGUAAUAAGAGCUCGUCUUUAUGCUAUUAUUUGUUACCACUCCCUACGCUAGACCGAGAGACCGGUGGAUCAUUCAGAGGCUAGCCAUGUAGUCCGUAAUCUGUGGGGAUAGGUUGUAUAGAAAAGUUAACCCGGUUGCAUCACUCUCAUUGCAGGUAACUGUAUUUUCUUACAUACGGCAGAUCUAUGGAUGUUGUGUGUGAAUUAGCAAUAUCAAGCAAGGCAUGACAUAUCCAUGUCAAACAAGCCAAUUCAUGAUUCACUCUAUUUUUUGUGUCGGUUCAGAAUUUCCAAUUGCAAGGAGAGACUCUUCAACGCUCCCUGUUUGGGAAUAUGUAUGUACCACCACCAGCACUCUUGUGGCUUAGGUCUGAUAUGAUUGGGAAUAGUUUUUUUAUUUCUUUUUGUUACUAGAACUGCAUGAGAAUUUUUAUGGCAGAAUAUUUGCAAAGUUAUUCACUCAAUAAAUUUCAACUGUGAAAGCAUUGUAAAUGUGAUUACUUAAAGUAUUUCUCUA